GCUAACUUCUCACUGAAGUGAAACAUCCAGCCAGAUUUCGCUUGAUUAUGAUGCGAUUCGUUAAUUGGGUGAAGAUGUGGAAAGUGAAUUAUUCGCGUGCCUCAUGCGAUGCCACUAAUGGACGGAAAAUACCUCCAUCUCUAACCUCAUCCACCCCACACCCUCAGCCCGACAACUUCUCAUAAUUGCCAACUUGUGCAUUCUGAAGUGAACAGAUUUAGCAUCGCAGAUUUAUGUCAUAUUUCCAUUUGGUUUCUCCAGCUGUUUCAGACCAGUUGUAAUUUACUGUUGGAUUGUUAUCGUUACUGUAACAAAAACAGCCAGCCAGCUUUGUAUUUAUGUGUUUUAUCUUGAAUGUGGUCCUGGUAAUUACUGUAGAAACGAGUGUUGUUCAACCUUUCACCUCAUUUCUGUGUCACUCUGAAACACUGGACCGGGUUUUUAUAUCCUUCCCUAUUUCUGUUUCUGAUUUCUGUGUUGCUCCAUGGCGGCUUGAAGUUCAAAUUACCUUGAACCGAAAAGUCAACAGUUUUUCCAGAAAACCAGCAAGCGCGAUUAUCUGGCACUUCAAUUAUUGUUUCCACCAAAACCCGAGCGGCUCUCUCAGUCACACGCAUCACGCUGAAGCGUGGCCACUCUGUAACAGCGGCUUAACAAAUCCCUUUAACAGAGACAUUGAGGACCCGCCAAAGAAUGUGCUGUUCACCACUCUGCGGCUGAACAGGAAGCGCGCUGGUUUUCCACAGGACUCUGCACAAAAUGGCUUUACCAUGAGCAGUGGCAUGCAAUCAGGUGCAUGGCUGCCGGGCAGCAUCGGGAGAUCACGUGCAGCCAUCUAUCAGUGUCCUUUCCAUUAAGUAGCUCCAAAUGUUUUAGUGGGAUCAGCAAAGGCAAUAGGUCCACUCUUCCUUUGUGACAGGUAUAUCUGGGGGCUCAAUGUUGCCAUUGUUGGGACAGAGAAUACACUUUGAUCAAUUUACUGAAGGCUAACUCCUCUUUGCUUUGUCUGCUUACAUCCCUUUGUCCAGUGUUGUUUGCUGUAACUGCUUUUAUCUGCCUGAAUUCUUUUUCCUGAAUCGAGUGCAAAGUGAUGCCCCAAGUGCUGGAUCUCAUUUCGUCAAACUGCGACUUAAUAACAUAACUCUUUGGGCUGAUAUUAUGGCUGAAUGUGCUUUGGAAAAACCAUUGUGUUUCUCCUGCUGCAGUAAAUGGUAAUAAAGGGCCUGUGCAGACAAUUUGCAAGGGCCCACACAAUGUAAUGAAAUAAUGGGAGAGCUAUAGGAAGCAAACCUAGGUCCCUCAUUGGGAGGCUCAUUCAGUAAUUGUCUUUUAUUAUCUGUAAAUCCAGCAGAACUUUUCUGGUGACAUAAGUGAAAAUGUGCUGAUUUGUACUUUGGCGACACCCAUUUAAUGAACAAGUGAACGUCAGGGUGACACAAGCGAUGACUCAGUGCGUGUGCAGUUGUCAUAUGUUUGGAAGAAGUAGUGCAAACGAAGCAGAAGGCGAUUGAUGGAGCUGCUGUCGACAAGAAGUCAGAGUUUAAGCCUUGGAUUCAAGAUUUUGUGUUUCACUGCAGUGGCUUCAAGUGGAUCACAUAAUGGACGGAUGAAUGUCAUUCUUAUCAUGCUGUUCACACACUGGCCACUUUUAUUAAGCAAGUCUGUACUGUCUGAAUCAACCCAACACAGAAACUUUAAUUCUAUAUUACAUGUCAUUUCCAUUUGUAUUAAGACAUAGUUGUAAUGUCCUAAUUUAUUGCACUGCAAUUUGACCUCUAUCACAUUUCUGACAGCUUCAAUUUACUUUAGAUACUUCAUAAUCUUUGAGGAGAAUUAAUAGCUGAGCUGCUGUAUUGAAUUGAAUAAUAUGGCCAAUUAAUAUACAUGCUGUGACCUAGUUGGGGUACAGAUCCUUAUUGAGAAGAAAGGAUCAUUGAAUUCCUCUAUUAUUAAUCACAUAGAAAACCAUCUUAUACAGUAUAUAGUUUAAAGUAUUCGUAUAUAAUGUAGCUUCCUGGGGUCACACAGUACAGUAUUUUUUUUUACAUUACUAGCCAGUCACAAGGCAGAGGCAAGGUCACGGAAACAGGCACAAACGAAAACCAAAGAUUUAAUGGACAUGAACACUGGAGAGUUCAACAGAUAGUGAGCGAACAAUCUGGCCAAGCAAGAGUGAGUGCAGGAGUAUAAGUAACCAACUAAUAACUAAUGAUUGUAGACAAACAAAGUAGACAACCACAGUAGAAGUGGUAUCAAAAUAAAGCAGGAAAUGGCAAAAACAAACACCAGGACUACAGGUUCAAGACACUCAUGAAGUCUUGGAAGGAAAGUGAACCAUCCAAUUGAUACUGAAUAGAAGCUUUGGAAUAGACUUGGUUUACAGACAUUAGAAAGAAUAGAACAGAAUAGGACAGAAUAGAAUAGAAAUACUUGAUCCCCUUGACCCCCAAUGGGAAAUUGGUUUUGCCACAGAUUCUCCAUGCAAGAUAGAAUAUUGCACAUACAAAAACAGACCAUAUAAAAUCUUACAUAUAGACAAAGAAAUAUAAUAAAAUAUAUACCUAUAUAAAAGUUACAAAUAAGAAACCAAUAUGGUUUUGAAUUAGUGGUGGUGUCUGAUCACAGAGAUUUCAGAGAGGAGUUAUAAAGAUUGAGUGCUCAGUAGUGCACGUUAGAAGGCUGAAUCUGGCACUAACGUGCUCCAUGUUUCACUAGGAUGUUGUGCAUAGGAUGAAAACCAUUCUCAGAUAUCCUUCAUAGAUGAGACAGCAUUCUCCUAUUUAACACUACUGGCAUAUUGAAAGGCUGCAUUCUGCAGAGCUAAAUGGGAAUGUAAAGUAAAGGUUUCCAGAGUCAUAUUCAUUGUACUGAAUUUAAUUACCGUCAAGGCUGUAAAACAGGCUACCAAGGUGGCUCUGCCUGUGCUGGAAGGGUGCAGUAGCGUCUCCAGAGUCUCCAGACCCGUGGACUCGUCUCUGGGUGGCUGAUUGUGGCUGCCAUCAGAGAUGAGAAAGUGUCCCCAUCAGACGCCUACUGAAAGUCAUUAAGCCUCCCUUUGUUCAUAACCUGGACUUUCACUUUUGCCAUUUCCUGUUUUAUUUUCAUGCCACUUCCGGUUUUGUUCUGCCAUGUUUAGUUCCUGUUUUACUUCGCUACCUCCGGUCCAUUCCCUGCACUCUCUAGUUCUCUCUAGCUUUACAUCUGGUCACGUGACUCACCACCUGCAUCUCAUCAGUAUUCAGGCUGUGUAUUUUAGCCCCACACCUUGCUCUUAUCAUAUGCCAGGUUGUCUGUGUUCUUAAGCCAGCAUUCCGUUCCUCUCUGCUUGCAGUAAGCCUCGCCAGUGUAUGAGCUUUGCGCCGUUCCUGACUACGUCUAGUUCUCGUCUUGUAUCCUGAACCUUUGCUACUGAAUGUAGUCUACAUGGUGAUGGAUGCUAGACGCCACUUCAUCGACCAGAUGGCUCCCACACUCCCUAUUAAUGGGCUCCUUGCUAUUUUGAGAUCACUGGGGUUUUGCCUGAACAGAAAUCCCAGGGAAUGACAGCAGCGCUGCGCGGCCCUGAGCUUCUUCUCCGUGUGCUCACGCUGGGAGCUGGUGUGUGUGGCCAUUUACCUCCACGUAUGUUUCAGACAGUUAAAGUUCUGACGUUUUAAACCCCAGCUCAGUUUGUCUUCAUGACCUUCAUUUUAGCACGAACCACCUUUCCUGAUCCUCUCGUGAUCUAAAGCUCCUCUGACCUUUUGAGAGCCUUGUUUUCUGCAGCCUCACACCACCGACUUUAUCUCCCCCACCCCCCACCCCCCUGCUCUGCUGAUUCAUCUUUCACACAUUCGGUUGGUUUAUUUAUCUAUGGCUCUGACCUUUAGGCUGGUGGCUGUGCACACUAAAGGAGGGCGCGGGUGUGGUGGUUCCAGUGAUUGUUGGGCAGAGCACCAUCUGGACAGCUGAUGCCUUUAUUUAAGACAUGAAGAUAUUUGUUUUCCAAACUCUAUAGGGUUAGUCCAGGACUCCACUUCGCUCCUCUGCUGUAUUGGUCUCUGAUUACAGGGUGACAAUGAGAGCUCUGUGCGUCUCUGCCACUCCCUGACCUAAGUGAGUCUAUGUCUGGGGGCCUCAUUAUCCUCUCACCUGGCACCAUUAAUAGUUGUUUGCCUAGAGGGAGAUUGGAGAUGGAAAUGGGGCAGUGCCCAAAGGUCCAACUAUUUACCUGUCACUGGCUGGAGAGAAUAGACAAAUAAUGUUGAUCGAUGUAGAGAGUGAAAGUGGGACAUCGCCAAACUCAGCGAAGAGGAACAGAUCAGACUGUAGAAAGUCAUAGUGGACAGUUUCACCUCUGGAAUAGGAUCGAUAGGUUUGCAAAUGACAUAGAUCAAUCCCAGACAAUGAUGCUUGGGACAAUAAUCUUUGUAGAUAGUGAGAAUAGAUAGUUGGCCCAUUUUUAUUCUCAAAGCUCUGGAAAGUCUUUGGUUAAAUAGGCUUGUUAAUAAAAUAAAUAAAUUAUUCAUCUGA